rnacentral:rRNA from 1 species
UAGGGAAUCUUGCGCUAAUGCGCGAAAGCGUGACGCAGCGACGCCGCGUGCGGGAUGAAGGCCCUCGGGUCGUAAACCGCUUUCGGCAGGGACGAAGCGAAAGUGACGGUACCUGCAGAAGAAGUCCCGGCUAACUACGUGCCAGCAGCCGCGGUAACACGUAGGGGACGAGCGUUGUCCGGAUUCAUUGGGCGUAAAGCGCGCGUAGGCGGCUCGGAAAGUCGGUCGUGAAAUCCUGGGGCUCAACCCCGGAACUGCGUCCGAUACUCCCGAGCUGGAGGCAGGUAGGGGAGAUCGGAAUUCCUGGUGUAGCGGUGAAAUGCGCAGAUAUCAGGAGGAACACCGGUGGCGAAGGCGGAUCUCUGGGCCUUGCCUGACGCUGAGGCGCGAAAGCUAGGGGAGCGAAC